UUUCUUCGUUUUGCUUCUGUUGGAUCUGUGAUCUGUGUCUAUAGUUUUUAGAUGAAUUUUGACGUUGUGCUAGGAAGCACGGAAUCUUCGUCGGAGGUCCGCUUCCCGCUUCGGAAUCUUAGUCAGAAUCGGAAGCUCUUGGAAGCUUUCGGAAUCUCGCUUCCAUCGCGUUUCCAAAAAUUCCACUUUGGAAGCUCGUUGGAAGCUUACGAUUCCGGUUUGGAAGCUUGCGCUUCCAUUUUAUAAAUUCAAUUUUACAAAUAAAACAUGAAAUUAUUAUU